rnacentral:rRNA from 1 species
GGGGNGAGCAAGCGUUGUUCGGAUUUACUGGGCGUAAAGGGCGCGUAGGCGGUCAGCACAAGUCAGUUGUGAAAUCUCCGGGCUUAACUCGGAAAGGUCAACUGAUACUGUGCGACUAGAGUGCGGAAGGGGCAACUGGAAUUCUCGGUGUAGCGGUGAAAUGCGUAGAUAUCGAGAGGAACACCUGCGGCGAAGGCGGGUUGCUGGGCCGACACUGACGCUGAUGCGCGAAAGCCAGGGGAGCGAACGGGAUUAGAUACCCCGGUAGUCCUGGCCUUAAACGAUGGAUGCUUGGUGUCUGGAGUUUUAUAGUCUCCGGGUGCCGUAGCUAACGCGUUAAGCAUCCCGCCUGGGGAGUACGGUCGCAAGACUG